rnacentral:lncRNA from 1 species
GAUGCUGCCUGACAGGCAUCGAACUGGAUACUUCUCCAUGCAGGGGCAAAAAGGCUGCUGUCGAGGUCCUGGGAAGACAUCUCCAUCAAGUACAUGUGCUUCCAGCCCAGCAGCUGGCGGGUCUCAUGAGCCUGCCUGGCCAAGAGGCCUGUGAGACUGGAGCAGGUGGCCAUGGCUGUGACCUUCCACACUCAUGGUUCCAGCCAAGGUACCACUGGAAAUGGCACCAGGAAAGACCUUCAAAAGAAGGGUUUUUUUUUUUUUUCCCCUCCUCUCCUCCACGAAUAGGUGAAUGAAGAGACUUCCUGACAUGGCUGAAAUAAAAAAUUAUAGCUCUUCAUUUUUGACUGAUUGUAGAUGUAACAAUUCUCCAUUGGAAAAGUUUCAGAAAACAGAAAAGUAUAAACUGAAGAAAAUUUAAUUACUUAAUAAAAUUAGAACUGCAAUUCAGAAUGAGCCUAAUUUACCUUUGAUUUUUUUCCCAUCUUUUUAUCCUGAACAUUAUGAUGCCAUGAUUUAUUUCAAAAUUUCAGAUGGUAUUUUUAGUGAAUCAUGCUUUUUAAUUAUAAAAAUGUUUCCUUGAAGUAAAAAAUUUUGGUUAAAAAAAUCAAACAACAAAACAAACUAGGAAAAAUUCUUUGUGAAGAAUAUAGAGGUUUUUUCUGGAGUUCUUCUUUCUGUGUGUUUUGUUGAGUUUGCCUUGUGUUUAUAGUUUUAUAUCUCUUUUCCUUGCUUGACUCUAUUACUGCACACAUAAGUUUUGCCAUAGAUUGUCAGAAUUUUAAGAGAAACGAUGCUAGGCCGGGCACAGUGGCUCAAUCCUAUAAUCCCAGCACUUUGGGAGUCUGAGGAGGGCGGAUCACUUGAGGUCAGGAGUUCAAGACCAGCCUGGCCAACAUGACCCUGUCUCUACUGAAAAUACAAAAAUUAGUGGGGUGUGGUGGCAGGUGCCUAUAAUCGCAGCUACUUGGGAGGUUGAAGCAGGAGAAUAGCUUGAAACCAGGAGGCAGAGGUUGCAGUGAGCUGAGAUUGCACCACUGUGCUCUGGGGUGACAGGGUGAGACUCCUUCUCAGAAAAAAAAAAAAGAGAGAAACAAUGCCAGGUGGCUGCUCUCUUUGCACAUCUGGAUGAAGACCCAGAGGCUGAG